rnacentral:rRNA from 1 species
ACGAACGCUGGCGGCGUGCUUAACACAUGCAAGUCGAGCGGUAAGGCCCUUUCGGGGGUACACGAGCGGCGAACGGGUGAGUAACACGUGGGUGACCUGCCCUCAGCUCUGGGAUAAGCCUGGGAAACCGGGUCUAAUACUGGAUAUGACUCCAUGACGCAUGUUGUGGGGUGGAAAGCCUUGUGCGGCUGAGGAUGGGCCCGCGGCCUAUCAGCUUGUUGGUGGGGUGANGGCCUACCAAGGCGACGACGGGUAGCCGGCCUGAGAGGGCGACCGGCCACACUGGGACUGAGACACGGCCCAGACUCCUACGGGAGGCAGCAGUGGGGAAUCUUGCGCAAUGGGCGAAAGCCUGACGCAGCGACGCCGCGUGAGGGAUGACGGCCUCGGUUGUAA